GCCUUCAUGGUGUAGCGGUCAACACGCUCGGCGCGUAUUCGAGAGAUCCGAGGUUCGAUUCCCGGAGAGAGCA
rnacentral:tRNA from 1 species